rnacentral:rRNA from 1 species
UGCCAGCCGCCGCGGUAAUACAGAGGGUGCGAGCGUUAAUCGGAAUUACUGGGCGUAAAGCGUGCGUAGGUGGUUUGAUCGGUUGGUUGUGAAAGCCCUGGGCUCAACCUGGGAACUGCAUCCAAUACAGUCAAACUAGAGAUUAGGAGAGGAGAGUGGAAUUUCCGGUGUAGCGGUGAAAUGCGUAGAUAUCGGAAGGAACACCAGUGGCGAAGGCGGCUCUCUGGACUAAUACUGACACUGAGGCACGAAAGCGUGGGGAGCAAACAGGAUUAGAUA